GGUGUAGUUAGGGUCAAGAUUAUAGGAU
rnacentral:piRNA from 1 species